GUCCAAAUAACACGUGUUCGUGUUUAUUUACACCUGUAAUCUAUUGGUUAGUUGUUGGUCACCUUGUCAGGUGACAUUUAAAUAUUCAUUGCACGGGUUUUAACUGACCGAUGUUAGCGCGGAAAGUUAUAUAGCCAUUCGAAGGCUCUUUUCAGUGCAGAUAACUUCAUUCCCACCCACCCGCCCUUGCUUUUGAUGUUUAUUGGAAUAUUAUGUUAAAAUAUUGUUCUAUUUUGUAGAAAUGAAGAUAAAGAAGAAAACCAUGUAUUUAGAUUUGUGUAAUAAGUAAACUGCACUUCAGAGCGCUUCACAUCCU
rnacentral:sRNA from 1 species